AAUGUCGUAGCUUAGCGGUCCAAAGCCCAUCGAUGGUACGGUGGAGACGCGGUGUUCAAAUCCCGCCGACA
rnacentral:tRNA from 1 species